rnacentral:rRNA from 1 species
UGAUUCUGGCUCAGAUUGAACGCUGGCGGGGAUGCUUUACAUGCAAGUCGAACGGCAGCACGGACUUCAGGUGCGGUGGCGAAGUGGCGAACGGGUGAGUAAUGUAUCAGGAACUAGUGCUAGUAGCGGGGGAUAACUACGCAGCGUAGCUGUACCGCAUACGCCCUUCGGGGAAAGCAGGGACAUGGGCCUCAUAUCAGAGCGGCCGAUAUCGGAUUAGCUACAGGUUGGUGGGGUAACGGCUCACCAAGGCGACGAUCCGCCAAGCUGGUUUGAGAGGACGACCAGCCACACUGGGACUGAGACACGGCAGCCCAGACUCCUACAGGAGGCAGCAGUGGGGGAAUUUUGGACAAUGGGGAAACCCUGAGUCAGCCAUCCCUGUGUGUGCGAUGAAGGCCUUCGGGUUGUAAAGCACUUUUGGCGGGAAAGAAACGGCACGGGAUAAUACCCCGUACAGCUGACGGUACCUGCAGAAUAAGCACCGGCUAACUACAUUACCCGGCAGCCGCGGUAAUACGUAAGUGCAAGCGUUAAUCCAGAUUACUGGGCACGUAAAGCGUGCGCAGGCGGUUCGGAAAGAAAGAUGUGAAAUCCCAGAGCUUAACUUUUGGAACUGCAUUUUUAACUACCGAGCUAGAGAUGUAUCAGAGGGAGGUGGAAUUCCGCGUGUAGCAGUGAAAUGCGUAGAUAUUGCGGAGGAACACCGAUGGCGAAGGCAGCCUCCUGGGAUAACGCGACGCUCAUGCGCAGCGUGGGAGCAAACAGGAUUAGAUACCCUGGUAGUCCACGCCCUGGCUGGAUGUCAACUAGCUGUUGGGGCCUUCGGGCCUUGGUAGCGCAACUAACGCGUGAAGUUGACCGCCUGGGGAGUACGGUCGCAAGAUUAAAACUCAAAGGAAUUGACGGGGACCCGCACAAGCGGUAGGAUGAUGUGGAUUAAUUCGAUGCAACGCAAGGCAUACCUACCGCUUGGCCUUAAUGCAGAUCCCGAAGAGAUUUGAGUGCUCGCGAAGAACCGGAACACAGGUGCUGCAUGGCGGCUGUCAUCAGCUCAUGUGGUAGAGAUCCGGGUUAAGUCCGCAACGAGCGCAACCCUUGUCAUUAAAUUUGCUACGAAAGGGCACUCUAAUGGACUUCACCAGCGGUAACAAACCGGAGGAAGGUGGGGAUGACGUCGAGUCCUCAUGGCCCAUAUGGGUAGGGCUACACGUCAUACAAUGGUCGGGACAGAGGUCGCCCAGCCGCGAGGACAAUCCCAGAAACCCGAUCGUAGUCCAGGAUCGCAGUCUGCAACUCGACUGCGUGAAGUCGGAAUCGCUAAGCAAUCGCGGAUCAGCAUGCUCGCAUGGUGGUCCGGGUCUUGUACACACCGCCCGUCACACCAUGGGGGUGGGUUUGCAAGAAGUAGUUAGCCUAGCCGUGAGGAGGCGAUUUACGUGAGAUUCAUGACUGGGGUGAAGUCAAUGUCAUUAG